UACGUAGGGUGCAAGCGUUGUCCGGAAUUAUUGGGCGUAAAGAGCUCGUAGGCGGUUUGUCGCGUCGAAUGUGAAAACCCGGGGCUCAACCCCGGGCCUGCAUUCGAUACGGGCAGACUAGAGUUCGGUAGGGGAGUCUGGAAUUCCUGGUGUAGCGGUGAAAUGCGCAGAUAUCAGGAGGAACACCGGUGGCGAAGGCGGGACUCUGGGCCGAUACUGACGCUCAUGCACGACAGCGUGGGGAUCAAACAG
rnacentral:rRNA from 1 species